rnacentral:lncRNA from 1 species
CUAGAAUCUCCUUACUCUUGAACUGCUCCAAUUUUGAACGAGAAGUUGUGAAUGAGGUAUUUAUAGGGAAAGUUUCCACCUAACUUGGGCUAAAUACAUGGCUUCGAGGGGCGAAAAAGUCACGAAAAGUGACUUUUUCUGCAAGGAACGGGGCUCCUGUGCUUGCCAGACUGAGGCACAUAGCGCCCUUUGGCAUGCGCCAGGCGCUUUAAUGCAUUAGCUACGGGGAGCCUAGCGCCCCCUGUGGUGCGCUUGGCUGCUUUAGUGCGCUUUCAGUGUUAUUUUGCAUGUUUUCUUCACCUGUUGUUGAGGUGUUUUCUUCAAUGUAAGAUGUAUUGGAACUUGAGAACAGAAUUUAUCCAUUUGUAAAUUCUUUUGAGGC